GAAACGACUCUCGGCAACGGAUAUCUCGGCUCUCGCAUC
rnacentral:rRNA from 1 species